CUUAAGUAGAACUUAGUGACUGAGUUUCAGCAAUCAAAUCAUGACUCAAAAAUACUUGAAAUUCAAUGGUCGAAGUUCCAUUCACCAUCACGUCCUUGAACCAGUCUUAGAACGUCUCCAAGGCGUAGAUUUGAAUGAUCACAUCAACGUUUGUCUCUCACUUUGGAAAACUGGUCACAUGUUGUGCAGUGGGCGUUUACAGGAAUCCUGCAAAGCUCUUAGUGGCGAGGCUGGCCUCGCCUUCGAUAAAAUCCGUUGUGCCUUCUCGCUUCCACGCAUGCACACAUGCUGUAACUCUGCUCUGAUUUGUGCAAGUUGAGCCGUGGCUAACUAGCUGGUAAAGGUUCCUGCACUCCACUUGCUUCUUCAUUAGAUAGCCAGUGUCUAAAGCAGCCCAGAUCAAAGAAUGAUCUGUAGAGGACGCGGUGGAUGUAGGCGCGGGCACAUGUGUUUAACGAUAGUAUCGGGAAGUUCGAGGUGGAUCUGGAGUUUGAGAAGACAGUAGGUUAUCUUGGAUGGUUUGGAUGAGCAGCUGUGUUGCUGAAGUGCUUGUGUCGGUAAGGGUUUGCAUCCGGGCUUGAUUCGCAAGUUCGCAUUCUUGGAUGAAUUGUUGAGGAAUUCCCACCUCUCAAACUCCAGGUCCAAGAAUUGUUGAGGAAAACGUCAAUUACACAACCUCUGGCAGUUCUUGCGGUUUCUGAUAUAACUGCUUCAAUUCUUCUCCCUCUGUGCUCCUUCAAAGACAUGAAUGGUUGACUAGCCAUCAAUAUCGUGACACUAUACUAGCAGUUAGUGGAAUGUGGCUCCGAUGUGGUAUGGAGUAGAAGACCGCAAGCGAGGUCGUAAUCCUCAUCGGUUUUAUUCAUUUUCAUAUGUCACUCACCCUCCCGGACUCUGGGAUCGUGUUUGGAUCUGAACGACUUUCGACUGAGAACUGAUAUAGUCACUGGGGCAGAAGGAGCUUUGAAUUGUCGCUGAGAUCAAUACGUUCUUUUCAUUUUACUUUUCAUGUUUUUUCUACUAUCGGAGAUUAGAAGAAAGUAAAGAAGUGCAGGGCCUGUCCCGAGACUAGUACGGUGCAAUUAGGACUACCAGUGCAAACAACUGUGAGUAUUCGAUCAGAACUAAUACUGCAAAUAAUUGUGGAUGUUCGAUUUGGACUACUGGUGCAGCCAAAGGAAGUAAGUGUGGCGUAUGUGGUUCUAAACAUGCGCACGGUCAAGCCUAGUUGCGAAUUUCAGUCCCAUCCAUGAUACACUAACGAGAAGAUCUAGAAAGGUUAGGAAGAAAAAAAAAAAAAAAAAAAAAAAAA